ACAAACCUUUUUUUUUAAAAAAAGAAUCUUCAAAACGUAGAGAUCAUAACAAAAGUUCACAACACAUGGAGACUAACAUGGGAGAAUUUCACACAAUAAUAAGGAAGCCGAAAUGAUUGUAACAGAAAAAGUGUGUUUAUAACCUGAACUGAAACGAAAUGGAUGUCAUUAUUUACAAUAAUAUUUGUGAAAUUUGCGAUGAAACUAGGACUUGGGAAAGAGUAUUUAAGCCCAGAAAUAGAGAGUAGUAAGUCACAGCUAACUUUGUGAAGAGAAAGCAACUAGAUUACUAACAAUACAUUAACUACGACAACUCGAGUCCAGAACCUCCAAUCCUCAAGUCUCUUACAGCCAAGAUGAACAGCCUUCUCCUUCUCACCAUCAUUGUCUUAGUCUCUGUAUACGCCUUCUCAGUAUCAGAGGCCCAGUUUCCCCAGUUUCCUUUUGGCGGCUUUGGUGGUGGGAGCGAGAGUACCAGGAGACAAGCCUGCUUUCAGUGCAUUAUCAGCAACGGCACCAACCCAAACGCCUGUAUCGUUUGUUCAUUUGGAUCUUUGAGUGUGGAUGAUUAAAACGUGAAACUAUCAAAAUAAUAAGCUCAGAAUAAUGUGAACAUUUGAAGUCCUACACAUAUAGCGAGACUGGGAUUGAACUGAAAUCAUCUAGAAUCAAGAGGUGCGUGCAAAGACAAUGAGAAAGAUAUGCUAUAGACAUGAAUAUCUUCACUAUAAUGUGAUAAAAUUUUCAAAAAAAUAUUUUUUGUAUGUAUAAACCUGCCAUGUACUGUCAGAGAAUUUGUCUAUAGAAUGUACAUAGAGAUAAAUAAACAAAGUCAACAAAAUAAC